rnacentral:rRNA from 1 species
AUUGAACGCUGGCGGCAGGCCUAACACAUGCAAGUCGAGCGAGCGGCGGACGGGUGAGUAAUGUAUGGGGACUGCCCGAUAGAGGGGGAUAACUACUGGAAACGGUGGCUAAUACCGCAUACUGUAGGAUAACCCAUAUGGGAUUAGCUAGUAGGUAAGGUAAUGGCUUAGCUAGGCGACGAUCCCUAGCUGGUCUGAGAGGAUGAUCAGCCGCAUGGGGACUGAGACACGGCCCAGACUCCUACGGAGGCAGCAGUGGGGAACAGUGCACAAUGGGCGCAAGCCUGAUGCAGCCAUGCCGCGUGUAUGAAGAAGGCCCUAGGGGUGUAAAGUCCUUUCAGUCGGGAGGCGUUACCGACAGAAGAAGCACCGGCUAACUCCGUGCCAGCAGCCGCGGUAAUUC